GUUAUCAUCCUCUUCACUGUCUACUCAUUCAUUGAGUUUAUCAGUUUUCAACCGCCAUUGCCUUUUACUCUCAAUAAUAUUCGUCAUCUCUAUCUCUCUAGAGCUUUCCACCAAACCCACUAUUCUAUUUCUUCAUGUUUAGCCAAUUUUUAUAUUUAGUUUAACUCUCUCUCCUUCUCCAUCAGCUUCAGCAUCUAUGGAGGACUCUUUCAUGGUGUAUGAUGUGACCAAGUUUAUGGAGACCACCUUGGUGGUGAUGAGGUUUUGUUGUCGACAACCGUUGCAGCAAAGUGGAAUAUCAAGUUCAAUCCCAUACAAUUGGUCUUGACCAAAGAAAUCAAGCAUGAAGAUUAUUCAUGCUAGCGGAGGAAAAAACUUUUGCUGUGUAAAAUCACACCCAUGACUCUGUGAGGAUUAGGUCAGGUGGUGAGAAACCAUCAAUGGGAGGUCUCCCAUGAGAUGUGCGAUUUGGUUUCACGACCUACAGUUUCUUGUCUCCCAAAGAUUGAAUUAGAAGGCAACUUAUGAGAAUCUUGAUUGUGAUUUAGACCCUAUUUGGUACUACCUUUUAAAGUUGUUAUCAUUUAGAAGGUAACUCUUAUAACAAUGCUAGAUGAACUUUGUUGUCUAAUAUCUCUAAAAAUAUGAAAAUUUUCAAUAUCUCAUUAAAGAA